AGCCAUGCGAGUCAUUGUAGCAAUACAAGGCAGACGGCUCAGUAACGCGUAGUCAAUCUACCCUGUUGACGGGGAUAACCUCGGGAAACUGAGAAUAAUACCCGAUAGAACAUUAUGCCUGGAAUGGUUUAUGUUUCAAAUGAUUUAUCGCAAUAGGAUGGGACUGCGGCCUAUCAGUUUGUUGGUGAGGUAAUGGCCCACCAAGACUAUUACAGGUACGGGCUCUGAGAGGAGUGGCCCGGAGAUGGGUACUGAGACACGGACCCAGGCCCUAUGGGGCGCAGCAGGCGAGAAAACUUUGCAAUGUGCGAAAGCACGACAAGGUUAAUCCGAGUGGUUUCUGCUAAAGAAACCUUUUGUCAGUCCUAGAAACACUGAUGAAUAAGGGGUGGGCAAGUUCUGGUGUCAGCCGCCGCGGUAAAACCAGCACCUCAAGUGGUCAGGAUGAUUAUUGGGCCUAAAGCAUCCGUAGCUUGUUUUGUAAGUUUUCGGUUAAAUCCAUACGCUUAACGUAUGGGCUGCCGGGAAUACUGCAUAACUAGGAAGUGGGAGAGGUAGACGGUACUCGGUAGGAAGGGGUAAAAUCCUUUGAUCUAUUGAUGACCACCUGUGGCGAAGGCGGUCUACCAGAACACGUUCGACGGUGAGGGAUGAAAGCUGGGGGAGCAAACCGGAUUAGAUACCCGGGUAGUCCCAGCGGUAAACUAUGCAAACUCAGUGAUACAUUGGCUUGUGGCCAAUGCAGUGCUGCAGGGAAGCCGUUAAGUUUGCCGCCUGGGAAGUACGUACGCAAGUAUGAAACUUAAAGGAAUUGGCGGGGGAGCACCACAAGGGGUGAAGCCUGCGGUUCAAUUGGAGUC
rnacentral:rRNA from 1 species